rnacentral:rRNA from 1 species
AGAGUUUGAUCCUGACUUAGGAUGAACGCUAGCUACAGGCUUAACACAUGCAAGUCGAGGGCAGCAUGAUCAAGCUUGCUUUGAUUGAUGGCGACCGGCGCACGGUGAGUAACGCGUAUCCAACCUUCCCUAUAGUAGUGGAUAGCCCGGCGAAAGUCGGAUUAAUACACUAUGUUGUAUUUAGAGGACAUCUGAAGAAUACCAAAGGUUUACCGCUAUAGGAUGGGGAUGCGUCUGAUUAGAUAGUAGGCGGGUAACGGCCCACCUAGUCGACGAUCAGUAGGGGUUCUGAGAGGAAGGUCCCCCACAUUGGAACUGAGACACGGUCCAAACUCCUACGGGAGGCAGCAGUGAGGAAUAUUGGUCAAUGGACGGGAGUCUGAACCAGCCAAGUAGCGUGCAGGAUGACGGCCCUAUGGGUUGUAAACUGCUUUUAUACGGGGAUAAAGUGAGCCACGUGUGGCUUUUUGUAGGUACCGUAUGAAUAAGGACCGGCUAAUUCCGUGCCAGCAGCCGC